AUCGAACGCUGGCGGCAGGCCUAACACAUGCAAGUCGAGCGAGCGGCGGACGGGAGAGUAGUGUCUGGGAAACUGCCUGACGGAGGGGGAUAAUUCUUGGAAACGGUAGCUAAUACCGCAUACCAUCAGUUGUGCUCAGAUGGGAUUAGGUAGUAGGUGGGGUAAAGGUGCACCAAGGCAACGACCCCUAGCUGGUCUGAGAGGAUGACCAGCCACACUGGAACUGAGACCCGGUCCAGACUCCUACGGGAGGCAGCAGUGGUGAAUAUUGUGCAAUGGACGCAGGCCGAAUGCAGCCAUGCCGCGUGUAUGAAGAAGGCUUUGGGGUGGUAAAGUCCUUUCGUCGGGGAGGCGUUACCUACAGAAAAAGCACCGGCUAACUCCGUGCCAGCCGCCGCGGUAAUUC
rnacentral:rRNA from 1 species